rnacentral:tRNA from 1 species
GGGGUUAUAGCUCAGUGGUAAAGCACUUGCCUUGCAUGCAUGAGGCCCUGGGUUCUGUCUCUAGCACCA